rnacentral:rRNA from 1 species
AGAGUUUGAUCAUGGCUCAGAUUGAACGCUGGCGGCAGGCUUAACACAUGCAAGUCGAGCGGGGAAGAGUAGCUUGCUACUUUACCUAGCGGCGGACGGGUGAGUAAUGCUUAGGAAUCUGCCUAUUAGUGGGGGACAACAUCUCGAAAGGGAUGCUAAUACCGCAUACGUCCUACGGGAGAAAGCAGGGGACCUUCGGGCCUUGCGCUAAUAGAUGAGCCUAAGUCGGAUUAGCUAGUUGGUGGGGUAAAGGCCUACCAAGGCGACGAUCUGUAGCGGGUCUGAGAGGAUGAUCCGCCACACUGGGACUGAGACACGGCCCAGACUCCUACGGGAGGCAGCAGUGGGGAAUAUUGGACAAUGGGGGGAACCCUGAUCCAGCCAUGCCGCGUGUGUGAAGAGGGCCUUUUGGUUGUAAAGCACUUUAAGCGAGGAGGAGGCUACCGAGAUUAAUACUCUUGGAUAGUGGACGUUACUCGCAGAAUAAGCACCGGCUAACUCUGUGCCAGCAGCCGCGGUAAUACAGAGGGUGCAAGCGUUAAUCGGAUUUACUGGGCGUAAAGCGCGCGUAGGUGGCCAAUUAAGUCAAAUGUGAAAUCCCCGAGCUUAACUUGGGAAUUGCAUUCGAUACUGGUUGGCUAGAGUAUGGGAGAGGAUGGUAGAAUUCCAGGUGUAGCAGUGAAAUGCGUAGAGAUCUGGAGGAAUACCGAUGGCGAAGGCAGCCAUCUGGCCUAAUACUGACACUGAGGUGCGAAAGCAUGGGGAGCAAACAGGAUUAGAUACCCUGGUAGUCC